GUUUCCACUUCCGGUCGUGUGGAAAAAUAUUGACAUGUUUUUAAUGAACGUGUUUGGUAUGAGAUUGGCAGAAUGUCCACGUGUCCCGCAAACGAACGCUCCGUGUGUGUCGAGCAUUCUACACGGAAUCAAGGGAUAACCAUCGUUACAUCAACGGCACUUACAAACUGAAGACCCACACAUUUUAAUGUUUAAGCAUUUGUGUGACAAAAUAAAGUUUGUUGCUCGUG